UACGUAGGGCGCAAGCGUUUGUCCGGAAUUAUUGGGCGUAAAGAGCUCGUAGGCGGUUUGUCGCGUCUGCUGUGAAAACUCGAGGCUCAACCUCGGGCUUGCAGUGGGUACGGGCAGACUAGAGUGCGGUAGGGGUGACUGGAAUUCCUGGUGUAGCGGUGGAAUGCGCAGAUAUCAGGAGGAACACCGAUGGCGAAGGCAGGUCACUGGGCCGCAACUGACGCUGGAGGAAGCGGAAAGCAUGGGGAGCGAACAGG
rnacentral:rRNA from 1 species